rnacentral:rRNA from 1 species
GGAUGAGGUGGCUAGCGUUGUUCGGAAUUACUGGGCGUAAAGCGCACGUAGGCGGCGAUUUAAGUCAGGGGUGAAAGCCCAGUGCUCAACACUGGAACUGCCCUUGAGACUGGAUUGCUUGAAUCCGGGAGAGGUGAGUGGAAUUCCGAGUGUAGAGGUGAAAUUCGUAGAUAUUCGGAAGAACACCAGUGGCGAAGGCGGCUCACUGGACCGGCAUUGACGCUGAGGUGCGAAAGCGUGGGGAGCAAAC